rnacentral:rRNA from 1 species
UACGUAGGGGGCAAGCGUUGUCCGGAAUCAUUGGGCGUAAAGGGCGCGUAGGCGGUGCGGUAAGUCACCUGUGAAAUCUCCUGGCUCAACUGGGAGCUUGCAGGCGAAACUGCCGUGCUGGAGUGUGGGAGAGGUGCGUGGAAUUCCCGGUGUAGCGGUGAAAUGCGUAGAUAUCAGGAAGAACACCAAUGGCGAAGGCAGCUCUCUGGGACGGUACUGACGCUGAGACGCGAAAGCGUGGGGAGCGAACAGG